rnacentral:ncRNA from 1 species
AAGGAGGCAGCCGAAAAUCCUGUAAAGAGUAGGCA